rnacentral:rRNA from 1 species
UACGUAGGUGGCAAGCGUUACUCGGAUUUACUAGGUGUAAAGCGCAUGUAGGUGGUUAGGAAAGUCUGUAGUGAAAUUCUUCGGCUCAACCGAAAAAGGUCUACAGAAACUACCUGACUUGAGUGUGGCAGGGGGAGACGGAAUUCACGGUGUAGCGGUGAAAUGCGUAGAUAUCGUGAGGAACACCAAUGGCGAAAGCAGUCUCCUGGGCCAAUACUGACACUGAGGUGCGAAAGCUAGGGGAGCAAACAGG